rnacentral:rRNA from 1 species
UGAGGAAUAUUGGUCAAUGGGUGCAAGCCUGAACCAGCCAUCCCGCGUGAAGGACGACUGCCCUAUGGGUUGUAAACUUCUUUUGUAUAGGGAUAAACCUACCCUCGUGAGGGUAGCUGAAGGUACUAUACGAAUAAGCACCGGCUAACUCCGUGCCAGCAGCCGCGGUAAUACGGAGGGUGCAAGCGUUAUCCGGAUUUAUUGGGUUUAAAGGGUCCGUAGGCGGACUUAUAAGUCAGUGGUGAAAGCCUGUCGCUUAACGAUAGAACUGCCAUUGAUACUGUAAGUCUUGAGUAUAUUUGAGGUAGCUGGAAUAAGUAGUGUAGCGGUGAAAUGCAUAGAUAUUACUUAGAACACCAAUUGCGAAGGCAGGUUACCAAGAUAUAACUGACGCUGAGGGACGAAAGCGUGGGGAGCAAACA